rnacentral:tRNA from 2 species
GCAGUCGUGGCCGAGUGGUUAAGGCGAUGGACUUGAAAUCCAUUGGGGUCUCCCCGCACAGGUUCAAUCCUGUCGACUGCG